rnacentral:rRNA from 1 species
UACGUAGGGUGCAAGCGUUGUCCGGAAUUAUUGGGCGUAAAGAGCUCGUAGGCGGUUUGUCGCGUCUGCCGUGAAAGUCCGGGGCUCAACUCCGGAUCUGCGGUGGGUACGGGCAGACUAGAGUGAUGUAGGGGAGACUGGAAUUCCUGGUGUAGCGGUGAAAUGCGCAGAUAUCAGGAGGAACACCGGUGGCGAAGGCGGAUCUCUGGGCCGAUACUGACGCUGAGGAGCGAAAGCGUGGGGAGCGAACAGG